rnacentral:rRNA from 1 species
CCUACGGGCGGCUGCAGUGGGGAAUAUUGGACAAUGGGCGAAAGCCUGAUCCAGCCAUGCCGCGUGUGUGAAGAAGGCCUUCGGGUUGUAAAGCACUUUCAGUGGGGAAGAAAGCCUUGGGGCUAAUACCCUCGAGGAAGGACAUCACCCACAGAAGAAGCACCGGCUAACUCCGUGCCAAGCAGCCGCGGUAAUACGGAGGGUGCGAGCGUUAAUCGGAAUUACUGGGCGUAAAGCGCGCGUAGGCGGUCUGAUAAGCCGGUUGUGAAAGCCCCGGGCUCAACCUGGGAACGGCAUCCGGAACUGUCAGGCUAGAGUGCAGGAGAGGAAGGUAGAAUUCCCGGUGUAGCGGUGAAAUGCGUAGAGAUCGGGAGGAAUACCAGUGGCGAAGGCGGCCUUCUGGACUGACACUGACGCUGAGGUGCGAAAGCGUGGGUAGCAAACAGGAUUAGAUACCCCGGUAGUC